GGCCUGCGCAGUAGAGUGAAAAAGCUGGCUUUUUUGUUAAAGUUUGGCUUUUCACUUUACUGCACAUGCGCAAGCAGUGCGUAGGAAGAGGAUCACUGGUUCACAGCUGCCCCAGGCAGAAACACCAGCCCAGGGGAAAAAAAAAAAAAAAAAAGUAAUACAAAGACUUAGGGACCUUGUGACGUCCACUGAAUUUACAAGAUCCAACAGAACCAUGAGGCUGUAUACACAAUAUUUCCACAUGGGAACUCCGUAUGAACAUAGAGGCAAUGCUCUUAUUGUUGCCACAUGAGGACCUGUCAAUCCAAAACAUAAUUCAAAAUCAUAUUUUAUUAUGCUUGUCAGGCAAAAAAACUUUACUUACACCAUAUAAAAUAUUUAAUUAUUGUUUCUUUUUUCUGUUUGAAUCCAUAAUCACAGCAAGCAGGCAGUAGCCACUUUAUUAAGGCAGACUGCAACUUCCUAAAAUCAUGUGUGUACAUCAGAGGGGGGACCUGAUUAUAGACAGUGAGAUGGGAGAGGGAAUGUGAGGAGUGCAGUGACCCUAGGAGGUGCAGAAUGGAAAGUAAAAGUAAUUCACUGCUCUACCUCUAUGCCUGAGGUAUAGAGCUGGGGAAGGCAAAAUAUGUAAUUUUUUAAUGCAUUAUAGCAGGAUGUAAUGUUAAAUAACAGAAUGUGGAUUUAAUGGUUAAUUUGAAAAGGAUUUCUGUUUUACAUCUUUUUAUGUGUCCUCUUUAAAGGCAUGGUUCACCUUCAGGUAAACUUUUAGGGACUGAUUUAUCAAAGUACAUAUUUCGGAUCUUAAAAAGUACAAUUCAAAAAAGAAAAUUUUGUAUUAAAUAUG